ACAGCUGCGUGUUCCUCCUGUCGCACGGGAUGAGUCGGUCUCUCAGGUGCGGCGCUGACUCACGGCUCCCAGCAGCAGGAGGGGUUGGGACACGUCCCAGUGCAAGGCGCCGGGAGCAGCGCGGGGCCCCGCAGGGUUUGGAACGGGGCUGGCUGAAUGACGAGCGGGGGCUUAAGGAGUCGGUACGAGUUUGCACGGUGAGGUCACGCGUCGCUGGUUCACGUCGUGAUGUCAGCAGCGAGGGCAGGCGGUGCUGGACGGCACCCAGGGCGGGUUGGAGGUGAGCAGUGGGAGCGUGGUUGGUGCGGGUUUGUAACGCAAUCGGCCCCGGUCCUGGGGUCAAGGCUGGAUCAGAGGUCAGACGGAGUCACCCCUCGGCCCACAGACAUCCCCCCGGCAUCGGCAGCGCUCUGAGGGAGGGGGCUUUUGGCAGCACGCUGUCCCCUCCUGCGCUCAGCCCUGGGAGCCGCACCGAGCGCGGGGGAGAGGACGCAGGGAAGGCGAACACACAUCAAGCUUGUUCAAAUCUGCCCGUCCCCGUUCCAAAGAGGCACUGAUCUUAUCUCCUUUAAAGCACGGGCCUUAUUUGAUUGUCGGGUUUUCCUCUUCUGAUCGCAAUCCCCCGCUGCGUGCCCACGCUCUCCCUGCUGGGACUCGUCCCUCGCAGCUGCACGUGUUAUCAGUGCCCGGCGGUGCAUUGGAGCUGCGCAGGUGCUGCAGGGCCAGCGCCAGGGAAGAAGCGAGCUGGAGGAAGCAGCUGAGGGGUGCAGUGCAAAGCAGCCUCUGCUCGUUUCAGAGGCGCCUGGCACCGAGAAUGCGACCUGAACCUCCCAUAGCUUUCAGGGGACGAGCAGGAUGAACAGAAGCCAGCGGGUCCCUGUGAGCAGAGGUGCACUGACACGGCCCGUGCUGCUGGUGGGUGUGCAGGGCACGUGCGGGCUCAGGGAGCGUUGUUCUCCCACAGGGUUUUACCCUUCGCUCCUCGGCCUCGAUUUCUUUCCCUUCUCAGUUUAUAAUUUCUGUUCCCUUCUGUGUGUGAGGAGCUUCCUGAAAGCGCAGAAGCUCAAGGAGUAAAUGAGAGGUGACGCAGCAGCUGUGACCUGUUCCCAGCACGGGGCUGGUUGGACAAAUGGGAACUGAGAGGCCCUGCGCAGGCUCGACACGCCAGCCACUCUGUGCUCUUUGCUACAACACUUGUACUCACGAGGCGUUUACUGGGUCCUUCACAGCGUGUUGCACAGCGUACCUCGUGAUUCUGCCUCUUCCCAUGGCACAGAGAUGAGCUGGCAGCGCUUCCACCACGCUGACAACGCGGGCACAGGUCUAGGAGAGCCCGGUCCUUGCACUGGAUGAGAGGCUUUCCAUGCUUUCCCUUCCCUUCUCCUCCCCCUGCACAGGUGACCUCUGCUCCCUCUGCUUUCGUCUGCAGUGCAAAGGCUGGCUGCUGAAGAGUGGUGUUCAAUAUGGUGUCCAACAUGUCCAGUACGGGAGUGUAGUCAUUUGAAUGGGAUUGCUGCUAAGUGCGGGCAGUGAGGAAGUGCUCUCCGUAACUCUUGUUCCUGAGAACGAAGAGUUCCUUACACGUCUGUGGAACUUACUCCUCUGUAGAGCAUGACUCAAAAGAACACUGCUUAAGGAGGUCUGCCGAAGAGCUGGUGCCAGGUUGUGUGAUUUCUGACACUGCACAGGAGCUCCUGGCUGGGAACUGAACUGGAACACAAACUCUGCAGGUUUCUGUUUCGGGAAAACAGGAUCCGAUUAAUUUCACAGUGAAUUCAGUUUGUCCUUAGAGCAGUGCUUCAGGUACACACGAAACAAAGGUUCCUCAAAGCUAUGGCGGAGCAGAUUUGAAUUAGCACCUGCAAAGGGAGGGCCGCGAGGAUGACCAGAAGGCUGGAGCACCUCUGCUAUGGAGGCAGGCUGAGAGCUGGGGCUGUCCAGCCUGGAGAAGGGUCUAGGGAGACCUCCCUGUGUCCUUCCAGUACAGAACAGGGGCUACAGGGAAGCUGUGGGGGAUGCUACCAGAGAGCGUGGUAAUAGGAACAGAGGGAAGAGCUUUAAGCUAAAAGGAGGGAGAUACAGGGUUUGGUGUCAAGGAAAUUCUUUCACUGAGAGGACAGUGAGGCCCUGGCAGGGGCUUCCCAAAGAAGCAGUGGGUGCCCUCCCCCUGAAGGUGCUCAAGGUUGGCUUGGAUGGAGCCUUGGGCAUCUGGUCAAUGGGAGGCGUCCCUGCCCACAGCAGGGCUUGGAAGCAGAUGGUCUUUAAGGUCCCUUCCAACCCAAACCAUUCUGUGAUGCCACAACAUGUCGAGCCUGGCAUCCACCUGGCUGAAGGACGCGUACUCCAAGGGAUGAAGCUUCUACCGCAUGCUGCUGUGCUUGCUGGAGCUGGCAGCCACCUCCGUGCCCUGGCAGAGCAGCACAACGCCCACCUUGCUGCCUGCUCGUGCCUGAAGAGGAUCGGGUAGAAGGUGAUUCUGCCUGUGAGGAACAAGGGCACUGGAAUCCUCCAUGGUGCAAUGCUCGCACCCGUCACGGCUGCACCGGUAGCAGAGGACUGGAGGGAGGAAAUGCAAAUAGUGCUUGUGGAUGGCUCUGCAGAGACACUGCCACCUACAGAUGUGCACAAAAAGGAGGCAUUACUCAUGAGCAGGCUGGGAGCACACUUCCCGUGUAUUUUUCUGGCAAUGGCUUUGUUUCAAGGAAAGGAUAUUUCAUCCUGUGGGCUCUUAACCAAAUGUAUCUGCUGCCUCACGGUGACUGCUGCGUUUUGGUACCCUAUGGCAACGCGUGGGAGACGCUGCUGCAAAGGCAGCAGUUUGCAGCGUCCUCCUGACAUCCUUGGAAAAAGGAUGUGGACAAUGUGGUCUUAGUCUAGAACCAGCAGCCUUCAGCUUUAAGGAAAGGCAGGGCCACUGAGUGGGAACGAGGAGAUUCCUCCUAACUACAGAGAGUGAUGUCGCGUUUAAAGAUAAACAUCAGGCAGAAUUCCUCAGCUGAGCAGUUAGUCAUUGCAAAGCUUCGUCCUCCUUGUUCUGCUCGAUGAGAACCUGAUGUGUGCCCCACCUUGUGCCCCAGUCCUCAGACCGUUUCCUAAAUAAGGCCCUGACUGCAGCCAGCAUCAUGUGCUCUCAUCAGUACAAUCAGCAUCCCCUUAUGAGGUAAUGGGUAGCAGAGCUGAAGAUGCCUGUGACCAGACGCAAGCUGUGCAGAUAAAGUUGUGUGAAAGCAACGGGCUGUGGCUGUAUUCUUGGGAACUGGUUCUGGAUAGAAAAGAGCCAAAACAUGCCUAGAGACACGAAUGGAAAGCCCCCAGUGGUUGUCACAGAAGCUGGACUUACCAGAAGAACGGCACAACACUUCUUUGAGGGAUUUCAAAAGCGUAAGAAACAAAACUGCAUGAAAUGUCUGACGUCCAGCACACCAAAGAAUGCCUGUGUUACACACUGGAAAGGUUUUGUGUGGGAUUUCCAACUUCAAGGAAGUUAAUUACAAAAUUCCGUUGUGAAAAAGCACCUGCCCUGGUUUCUCUGGCAUUCGUUGUCCUGGCGAGCGCUCUCCCAUGCCUCUUAUCUCCCUGCAGGCAGAUUGGAGCCAAACGUUAAUGGAAAACCGUGCUACAAGGGAUUCUGAGCAGGCACCCAGCCCACGCUCCGCCUGGCGGGGUCAGUUCAGCCCACUCUCUUGCUUGUUGCUUGCCCAGCUUGCUUUUGGAAAACCUGUAGACAAACACUUGGAGUCACUUCUUUCAGUCUCCAAAAAUGGGCCCAAGACCGAAGGUGAACUCUGUCACCCUUCUUUUGGGAAAAGAUGAGGAGCAGUGCUGCAGGCAGGGGCAAACCCACUGCAUGGACACCGCUGUCUGUGGCCGCCCAGCUGACGCCAUCCGCAUCAAUCAGAUGGUUUUUAAUCCUAUUAUUUGAAGGGAUGAAGGUGAAGGCAAGUGCCAGCACUGCUCGUUGCCCUUCUUAGCAGUUCUCUUUGGAAGUUCCCUCCUCGGGCUGAUUUCCUCGCCAGAACAGAAGUUCCACGGUCCUGUUUCAGCAAAUGAAAUCACCUAAAUCAAAUCAAAUCCUUCCAAAUCCUUCGGUCCAGCUUUUUAGCGGAGGACUGUUGUCAGUGUUUAUUUUCCAAACCCACAGCGGUACCUCAUCGUUAUUCAUGAGCGCUUCUGGAAAUCAUGACUAACCCGACCACGAGCCGUGUUCAGCGGAAACAUCGCUGCUGAACAGAAGCAAACUUCCAGACUCACAAAACGCGCCCUUUGGUUUCAGAUUCCUACAUGUGUGUGCCAAGGCAGAGCCCUACCUCAGCUGCACGGGUGGAGGUGUUAGGCCUUGUUAGGAUGUGCCAGCAGUGCAGAAGGGGGAAGAUGACAGGGAAGAAAAGACUAAGGGCAGCCAGAAGAGCUGCAGCUCAGUUAUCUCGCACCUUCCACCAGUUCCAAGCGAAGAUGAAACCGUCACCAGAGUUCAGAAGCAUUACAAGUGUUUUGGGGGGUUUUAUUCUUAAGCAACGCUCCCGUCUCCUGCUGCUAACAGCUAAUAAAUGUUUACACAGCAGGGAAAUUCCAGAGUGGGGGGAGAAAAUGAAUCUUCUGUUAAUGUUCAAACAAAGCAAGUGGAACACCUACCAUUGUCCUUAGCUGUUUUGUUGUAUCUCAGCAUGAAGCACAUCAAAGGAAAAAGGGAUUACUACGAUGAAUUGGUUUUGGAAUAUAAAGAACUGGUCAGAGAAAUAAACUGCUGUGAAUGGGCAGGAGCAAAGCAGGCCCACCUUGAAGGCAUCCAAAAUCUGAAAAACUGCUUACAAUGAUCCGCUUCGGAACGUCCUGCCAUUCCUUGGAGGAUUUCUCGGGACUCACUUGCAAUGCAAAAGCAUUUCAAACUCAAGUCUGUGCUUCCUGUAAGGACUUAAACAAAGCAUGAGUCUAAAAUAUGGGGAACUGCUGUUGAAAUCACUGAUGAGAACACAAAACUGCUACCAGCACAGCACCUUGACUACGCCAAGGGGAUUUUUUUUAGUGGUGCUUAUGCGUUAAGCACUAUUCCUUUGGAGAAUGCUUUUUCCAUACUCACUCAGUCCUAUGCCAUAGCUCCGUUCUGAAGCAUCAUUCGCAGUCUAAACCUGUUCAUACGGACUGAGGCUGUAAUAAAAUCAACUGAAGAAGUAAGCUGUCAGCAUCCUUGUGUACCCAUUUAUGAUCACGUACCACAAACGCAACCAAAAACCCCAGCUGAUUUAGCAGCACUCUGCUUUCCUUGUGCUUCACACAAAGGAACUGUACACGGCACGCCACCAGUGAGAUACAAGUGCAGGUCAUGCUUGCACAGCAAGAUUUUUAUCUUGCACCUGUCAGCUGAUCCAGCUGAAUUCCUUCACCGCAGUCAUGCUGCAGCACGGAGCAAUUCUAGAAUUGCUUUGACUCUGUUUGCUUAUGGGGCUGCACUCAGAAGUCUUGUGACAGUAUCAGAGUGCAUAGGAAACCUGAGAUGGGUUACUGGGUCUAAGGGCACCUAAUGAAAUCUCCUGCUUCUAGAUGAAUCUGCUGUGGUUUAGUUCUUCUGGGAUACAGCACUGGUAUUUGCACCACUCCAAC